rnacentral:lncRNA from 1 species
CAGAACAGGAGGUGCCCAGGUAGAGAUGCGGCUCCAGAGCAAUGAGAAAGAAAAGGCCGUGAACCCUGGAGCGGCCCGUGAGGGAGGAAACGUUGGCAGAUCACAGGCUCUGCGGCUUGCUUCCCUUGAGCUGCUCUCUCCCACUGCUGAAGAAGCAUUCGCCCCGCAUAUCCCGUCCGGGACCCUCGGUAUAGUCCACAGGCGGGAGGAGGCGAAGACCCAGCCGCAGCCCCCUCGCUGAGUGCGGAUGGCCGAGGGCUCUGCUGUGAAGCUGGUCUGGCCCCCAACGUUGCUGUGUUGUGACCAUGGUGAAGAAGAUGCAAACAUACGAAUGGACCAAAUUUCAGCCCAAAACACAGUUUGAAAGGAAAAAAAAUUUAUGAUUCAAAGGAAUUGAGUUGAUGGCAGGAGGAAUUGAGUAGCAUAUAUUUCUGAUUUUUAAAAAAAUGGGCCACCUGGGUGGCUCAGCGGGUAAAGCAUCUGCCUUUGGCUCAGGUCAUGAUCUCAGGGUCCCAGGAUCGAGCCCCUCAUUGGGCUCCCUGCUCAGUGGGGAGUCUGCUUCUCCCUCUGCCUCUCCCCCCCCUCCUCGCUCAUGCUC